rnacentral:rRNA from 1 species
UACGUAGGUGGCAAGCGUUAUCCGGAAUUACUGGGCGUAAAGCGCGUGUAGGCGGCUCGGCAAAGUCGGGUGUGAAAGCCCUGGGCUUAACCUAGGAAGUGCACUCGAAACUGCCAAGCUUGAGUUCUGGAGAGGAAGGCGGAAUUCUCGGUGUAGAGGUGAAAUUCGUAGAUAUCGAGAGGAACACCGGUGGCGAAGGCGGCCUUCUGGACAGCAACUGACGCUGAGACGCGAAACGUGGGGAGCAAACAGG